GCUGGGCGGGCCGGGCUGGGCGGCCCCGGCGGCGGGGGCGGUCCGCUCCCGGAGGCCGCGCCUCCUUUGCACCCUCCUUCCUGAAGAUGGCCGCGCAGGCCAGGGCUCCGGCACCCGGCUGCGGACCAGAUCCCCUGGGCUGCACCCGGCCUUGCGCCCCUGGUCCGCGCUCGCAGGCUCGGAAACGGGCGGUCCUCCCGAGGCUGAAAGUGUGCUACAGGGGGAACUGGACCAGAGCGUUCUGAGGCUUGCUUUACUAAGAUGGCACAAACGGUGAGUCCAGAGCUAGUUUUGAACAGGCCUCUCUGUUUCCUAAGCCUGGCCUUUCCCAUAAGGCACAGCGCAUCUGUAAGAUGAGCCUAUAAAAUAGGAGCCAAACUAUCAGGAGGGCACUGAUAGGUUUCCAGGAGAAUGGCAGAAGCGCCCCCCCCCACCUCCCGCUGCCACACUCACUCCCUGGGAAUGAAGCCAUCAGAGUUGGACAGCAAGAGACAACAGUCUACAGGAAACAACUGCCUGCAAAGAUUAACCACCUAUAAAGAUUAACUGCCCCCUGUACGUCAAUUCCUGUUGUUGCACUUCACUGGUCGUGAGACUCAGACUCCAAUCAUCUCUCAUUGUUCUGAUUUUUCCUUUCCCCUAAAAUUUUCCUGCCACAAUCACUUGGUCAUGGGACUUGACCCCCACUCCCUCCCCAAAUUGUGGAACCUUCCUUUCAUUGUCCUUGCCACGAGUUCCUACCAUAGACCCUCACCACAAAUGCCCACUAUGGCCCUUUUUAGGACCAAAUUCUUCUCAAAGUCAGUGCUGAUGCUAUCCUGAGCUCAGCCCAUCCUUCAUUUCAGACGCCUUAGUCAAUCUCUCUCGCUUUACUGACUUGGCCUCGUGCAUUCCUCCUUCGGCAAACCUAACAGGCACAUUUUGGAGCUUAAGAACAAAUUCCUUAUAGGCUUUGAUAUCUGAAAAUGUUGACUAGGUUUGGCCCCUGAAAUGACACCUGAAUUUGUUUCUUAAUUUAAAAAAAAAAAAAAAAAGACGAACAGACACAUAUAGCAUAAUGUCACAGAGCCAUCUAGACUAGGAGUCCUCUUGGAUUUGGAGUUGACGACCCUGGUUAUGAGGUACUUGUCCCUCAGCCAGGUCAUCUCACCCUUGUACACUUCAGGCACGUCC
rnacentral:lncRNA from 1 species